rnacentral:lncRNA from 1 species
UGUAGUGGUGGUGUCAGUGAUGACAAUGGUGUGCAUGUCCCUGGGUCCAAAGAGUACCUUGGGAAUAAGGAAACAGUCAGGCUGAAUCACUGCUCACAGCUUUUUUUUUUCAGUGGUGCCGGGGAUCGAACCCAGGGCCUUGUGCAUGCCGGGUGAACUCUCUACCACUCAGCUACACCCAGCCCAGGCUCACAUUCUUGGCUGCAUCUUAACUCGGUCAUCUACAAAGACUUUCUCCUGAGGUGCUUGGGCUUAAAACGUCAACAUCUUUUGGGAGGAUGCAGCUCAAUGCAGAGCUGCAGACGUAGCGUCCAUCAGUGGGAGAGUAACCCCGUAGAAGUCACUCUACUGCCCCCCACAUGAAGGAACUGACAUUUGUACAAGACCACAGCCCUGCCCAUCAGCCUGUCCAGGAGUAGCCAACUGCCCGGAUACUGCCUUUCACCUGUCACAGUUGCUAUCUAUGGAUUGGAUACAGUCGGAGUGAGUCUCCAGGGGUCUACCUGCUGAAGUCCAGUCCCUGCUGCGAGGCCCUGAGGUAGAAAUCAAUCAGAUUAUGGUGGUUAGGGCUGGGCCUUUGGAAGGCGAUUAGGAGGAGGUGAGAUCAUCAGGACGAGUCCUGGUGGCUUUCUAAGGAGAGAGUAGAGGGCACACAGAUAUAGACAGAGACACACUCCUGCAUGUGCACACUCCCUGGCUCU